GUUCACCUCAGCAGCAACAUAUACUAAAACUAGAAUGAUAUGCAGAAGAUUAGCAUGGCCCCUGCACAAAGAUGACAGGCAAAUGCAUGCAGCAUUCUAUAGUGUU
ensembl:snRNA U6 U6 spliceosomal RNA